rnacentral:snRNA from 1 species
AGCUUUGCACAGUGGCAGUAUCAUAGUCAGUGAGGUUUAUCCAAGGCACAAUUAUUGCUAAUUGAAAACUUUUCCCAAUACCCUGCCAUGACGACUUGAAAUAUAGCCAGCAUUGGCAGUUAAUUCCAGGUAUAUUAAGGAGUGAAAUGAGAAAUGC